CUAUCAAUCACACCCACUUAACUCUCUCUGGGCGCGAGGCCGGAGGAGCAGCACACCCCGCUCCUGCCGUGCGGGAUGAGGAGCCAGACGUGAGCACGCAGAUUCACGUGCCGGCCAAAGACAAGACCCCGCAGAUAGGGUAUUACCGAGCAGGCCGUCAGCAGGCACGCGGCACGCGCGGAGGUGGAGCCGGCCCGGGAACCCUGCCGCGUCCCGCUCGCUGUCAGGCCCCGUUCUGCCUGGUGGCAGCGAGGGGUUACAGCUCGCUUCUUACCUGGGGGAGGGGGAGGCGAGGGGAGGGCCGCCGGCUGGGGCUCCGCUGUGACUCAGCCACCCCGGGCAGGCAGCCCGCUCGGGAUUCCCUUCCCCAGCCUUCCCCCGCUGCUGGCCCCUCCCCGCCCCUCACCGAGAAGUGACAGUGCCGGCCCCGGCCCGCUGUGUGUCACUGCGAGCCUUGUGUCUGCCUCUGACUGGACCGCUGUGUUCACCAGUCUGUCUGACAAGACUAAGAACAGGAGGCUCAGAGAGGUUGUGACCUUUCCAAGUUCCUGUAGCCACUAAGUGGCAGAGCUGAGAAUGGAAUCCAGGUCUGAUCUGACAACCCAAGCCCUAAAGGUACAGGAAAAGAGAAACCAAUUUUUUCCAAUACCAUAAGCAACCCCAGGAUUUAACUCAAUAGAGAAGGGCCGCAGUAGCUAUCAACUGAGUCCCCUUCCUUCAAGAGAGAGAUCCACACACCUACACAGAAUGAAGACCCUGACUUUUCAGUCUCAUAUAGUUUCUUGACCCGUCUCCUCACUGGUGGGGGUGGGGUGCCACUGAUUAAGGUCAGGGCUGAGCUGGCGUCCAGAUGUAUACCACACAGCUCUUCUCCAGGGGGCUGGCAACCACUCCCACUUCAACUCAAUAUGGGGGUGGGGGCCAUAAGCCUCUUGGCAAUGCAGCAGGUGGGAAAGGAAAAAGACUGCUGGGAGGCUCUUUCCAGGGGGUACAGGGGACUUGGAGGGAAAGUUCUUCUGUGCCAAUCUAGGGAAACGUGACCCAAGGUUCACUUAGCCCAGCAAACGGGCAAAGUCCACCCCACCACACCCGUGCCCCUCCCCCUCAAAAACUCCAGGCCAGGGUUUCCCACCUGCAGGACGCUAAGGCCAAGGGAACGGAGGAGGGGGAAAGAUGGCACGGGGCUGCAGCUGGACUCGGGGCGGAGGUUGUGGUGGGGGGAGGGGGCUGGAAUGGAAAGGGGUGGAGGCCUCAUCGCCUGGCAACUAUCCCAGGGCACGUGCACGGGUGACAUCAUCCCAGGCCACCUUUAACACAGACCUUUGACCCCGAGGGGCGGAGAGGAGCCGCGGGCUAAGCUUCCUGGGAAAUAGCCUCAGGAAUUCUGGGAACCCAAAAAAGAGAGGAAGGAAGGAACCCAGGCGUCCCGCCCUUAUCUUUUGCCCCCUACGCGGCUCCAAUCCCAGGGACUCGGGCCUCUCGGCUCCUCCUCUCCGCCUCCAGCCCUGACCUCCCAACCCACAUUUCUGACGGAGUCCCGACACGCCUCUGAGAUACUGUGCCUUCUCUCUCCUGGGCGAGAUCUCGCGUGGGGGGGGGGGGCCGGGAGGUGGGGGACGGGGGCACCAGGUCCCGCGGGGCUCCGUCUCCCAUCAGCGGGAUCCCCUGUGCCCAGCCGGCCGCCAGCCGGAAUCUGUCUGGGUCCCAACUCUCCUGCCCCUCCCCGCGCUGUUCCAGGGCGGAGUCUGUGGAGUUGAAAUCAGGACACGGCGAGAGGAAGAGUUAUAUAACUGGGAGAAGCCGAGAAGGACGAGUGAGGACCGGGAGAGACAGCCCGAAAGGAGCCGAGGGAGGUGCAAAGAGCACCAGGGCGAGUGGGGAAGAAACGUUAGGGAUGGGAAAGAUUUCGGUGCACAUCAAAGGGGAAGAAUUCACGCGAAGACGGGUUGUGAUGCUCCGGGAAGAGUCACCUGGGGCGUCCGGGGCUUCCCCGCAGUGCCCUUCCCUGCUGCCAACAGCAGCCGGGCCCGAGCGCGUGAAGCCUCGGGAAGGGGCGCUGAUACCCGUUCGGUUCCUCUUGGGGAGGCAACUUUAGCCAGAGCCCGGGACGGCAGCGGUGGAGCAGAUGGGGCCGGAAACCACAGCUCCGCCCAGCCCACCUGGGAAAGUGGGGCUCCAGCUGGGG
ensembl:lncRNA